UGCAAGUCGAGCGGUAAGGCUCCUUCGGGAGUACACGAGCGGCGAACGGGUGAGUAACACGUGAGCAACCUGCCCUUCUCAUCGGAAUAAGCGUUGGAAACGACGUCUAAUGCCGAAUAUGACCUCCUUUCGCAUGAUCGGAGGUGGAAAGCUCCGGCGGAGAAGGAUGGGCUCGCGGCCUAUCAGCUUGUUGGUGGGGUAACGGCCCACCAAGGCGACGACGGGUAGCCGGCCUGAGAGGGUGACCGGCCACACUGGGACUGAGACACGGCCCAGACUCCUACGGGAGGCAGCAGUGGGGAAUAUUGGACAAUGGGCGAAAGCCUGAUCCAGCAACGCCGCGUGAGGGAUGACGGCCUUCGGGUUGUAAACCUCUUUCAGCAGGGACGAAGCGAAAGUGACGGUACCUGCAGAAGAAGGACCGGCCAACUACGUGCCAGCAGCCGCGGUAAUACGUAGGGUCCGAGCGUUGUCCGGAAUUAUUGGGCGUAAAGGGCUCGUAGGCGGUUUGUCGCGUCGGGAGUGAAAACUCAGGGCUCAACCCUGAGCGUGCUUCCGAUACGGGCAGACUAGAGGUAUGCAGGGGAGAACGGAAUUCCUGGUGUAGCGGUGGAAUGCGCAGAUAUCANGAGGAACACCGGUGGCGAAGGCGGUUCUCUGGGCAUACCUGACGCUGAGGAGCGAAAGCAUGGGGAGCGAACAGGAUUAGAUACCCUGGUAGUCCAUGCCGUAAACGUUGGGCGCUAGGUGUGGGGACCUUCCACGGUCUCCGUGCCGCAGCUAACGCAUUAAGCGC
rnacentral:rRNA from 1 species